AGCGAACGCUGGCGGCAGGCCUAACACAUGCAAGUCGAACGGAUCCUUCGGGAUUAGUGGCGGACGGGUGAGUAACACGUGGGAACGUGCCCUUUGGUUCGGAACAACUCAGGGAAACUUGAGCUAAUACCGGAUGUGCCCUUCGGGGGAAAGAUUUAUCGCCAAUGGAGCGGCCCGCGUCUGAUUAGCUAGUUAGUGGGGUAAAGGCCCACCAAGGCGACGAUCAGUAGCUGGUCUGAGAGGAUGAUCAGCCACAUUGGGACUGAGACACGGCCCAAACUCCUACGGGAGGCAGCAGUGGGGAAUCUUGCGCAAUGGGCGAAAGCCUGACGCAGCCAUGCCGCGUGAAUGAUGAAGGUCUUAGGAUUGUAAAAUUCUUUCACCGGGGACGAUAAUGACGGUACCCGGAGAAGAAGCCCCGGCUAACUUCGUGCCAGCCGCCGCGGUAA
rnacentral:rRNA from 1 species